AGGGUUGUAGUUAAAAAUAACAUUUGAUUUGCACUCAAAAAGUAUUGACCUGUUCAAUCUACCUUA
rnacentral:tRNA from 1 species